GGUCGCGUGGCCUAGUGGUUUAUGGCGUUUGUCUUACAACAGUAACACAAAAGGUCGCAAGUUCGAUCCUUGCCGCGAUCA